CGGGAAGUUGGCGAGUGGUUACGCCACCAGUUUUGGGAACUGGACGCCGGGGGUUCGAAUCCCCCCUUCCCGA
rnacentral:tRNA from 1 species